rnacentral:rRNA from 1 species
UGAGGAACAUGACCUUCGGCGGGGGAUAACCGGCCCAACGGCCGGGUAAUACCGCGUACGACCACAUGGGGACAUCCCUGAGUGGUGAAAGCGGCAAUGCGCCGAUGGAGUGCCUCGCGGCCUAUCAGCUAGUUGGUGAGGCAACGGCUCACCAAGGCAACGACGGGUAGCUGGUCUGAGAGGAUGGCCAGCCACAUUGGGACUGAGACACGGCCCAGCUCCUAGGGAG